rnacentral:rRNA from 1 species
CCUACAGGAGGCAGCAGUGGGGAAUAUUGCACAAUGGGGGAAACCCUGAUGCAGCGACGCCGCGUGAGUGAAGAAGUAUUUCGGGAUGUAAAGCUCUAUCAGCAGGGAAGAAAAUGACGGUACCUGAGUAAGAAGCCCCGGCUAACUACGUGCCAGCAGCCGCGGUAAUACGUAGGGGGCAAGCGUUAUCCGGAUUUACUGGGUGUAAAGGGAGCGUAGACGGCAGCACAAGUCUGGAGUGAAAUGCCGGGGCUUAACCCCGGAACUGCUUUGGAAACUGUGCAGCUAGAGUGCAGGAGAGUUUAGUGUACUUCCUAGUGUAGCGGUGAAAUGCGUAGAUAUUAGGCGGAACACCAGUGGCUAAGGCGGCUUACUGGACUGUACCUGACGUUGCGGCUCGAAAGCGUGGGGAGCAAACAGGAUUAGAUACCCUUGUAGUC